rnacentral:misc_RNA from 1 species
GCCCAUCAAGUGUCAAAGAUUUGAAGCUAUAGGAUUCUGAGAGGCAGUAGGCAACGGCAACCUGGGACUGACUAGAUCAAACCAAGGCAACAAACAAAGAAGGAAAACACCUGUCUUCCCUUCCUAAGUCUGCUUCCAGGAAAGCGCGUCUUUCUUUAAUUUUCUUUCAAAAAGAAAGGGCGUCAAAAUCUGUUCUUUCCCCCUCUCUUUCUCUCUGCCCCUUAUCGUGAAUAAUCCACAUCUGUGGUAUAUAUAAAGGAUGCGUAGAUUCGUGAUUGGGAGAGCUAAAAGCCUCCUCAACCGUUCAUAUCAAUAUCACUGUCAAAAUCAAGCCUUGCUGCGUCCUCUUGCCCCUUCUCACUCUCGUUUCUUGUCUUCUACUCCUGGUCUUGAUUCCUCUUCUACUUCUUCUGCUUCAUCCAUGGCUCCUCCCGUCUCUCUUGAUACCAUUAAUCCUAAGGUGCUGUUUUCCCCCCUUUCAAUACAAGUUUUGCUUCUUUUGAUUGAAAUUCAUUGUUUGAUUGAGCUUAUCUGUUCAAUUGGAGUGGUUUUUGCAUCUGGGUUUUCUUUGUUUUUAUUUAUUUCUUCACCUUUUGUUAUGGUUUAUGCUCUGGGAUUAUAUCAUAUCUUGUUGUAAACAUUUUCUUUUAAAAAAUUCCUUUGGGCGAUUGGGUGUUCUUGGUUUUGUCUCUCGUUUCGAUUCAUCCAUUAAUUCUUGUUUUCGUGUUUUAAUCUAUGUACAUAAAAUGUUUUGCUCCGCUUUGCCUUUUGCUGAUUGGGGCGUUUAUACUCCGGUUGAAUUCCAGUUUUGGAAUGUGAGUAUGCUGUCCGUGGUGAGAUUGUCACCCUUGCACAGCGGUUACAAGAUGAGUUAAAGGCUAAGCCAGGUUCUCAGCCAUUUGAUGAGAUACUGUACUGCAACAUUGGAAAUCCUCAGUCUCUUGGUCAGCAGCCAAUAGCAUUUUUUCGAGAGGUUAUUGCAUUAUGUGAUCAUCCUUCUAUUUUAGACAAAAGUGAAACACAGGGUUUGUUCAGUGCUGAUGCCAUAGAACGAGCUUGGCAGAUUCUUGAUCAAAUUCCUGGAAGAGCAACUGGCGCUUACAGUCACAGUCAGGGUGUCAAGGGAUUACGUGAUACAAUUGCUGCCGGAAUUGAAGCUCGUGAUGGUUUUCCUGCUAAUCCAAAUGAUAUAUUUUUGACGGAUGGUGCAAGUCCUGCGGUCCAUAUGAUGAUGCAGUUACUUAUAAGAUCAGAAAAGGAUGGAAUGCUCUGUCCCAUUCCUCAGUACCCCUUGUACUCUGCUUCGAUUGCUCUCCAUGGAGGUAGUCUGGUUCCAUAUUAUCUUGAUGAAGCAACUGGGUGGGGAUUGGAAAUUUCUGAGCUUAAGAAGCAGUUAGAGGAUGCAAAGUCUAAAGGUAUCACAGUCAGAGCCUUAGUUGUAAUAAAUCCAGGCAACCCAACAGGGCAGGUUCUUGCUGAGGACAACCAGCGAGCAAUUGUAGAGUUCUGCAAGCAAGAAGGCCUUGUUCUUUUGGCUGAUGAGGUUUAUCAAGAAAACGUUUAUGUUCCUGAGAAGAAGUUCCACUCAUUUAAAAAGAUUGCCCGGUCUAUGGGGUAUGGUGAAGAGGAUAUAUGUCUAGUAUCUUUUCAGUCGGUCUCCAAAGGGUACUAUGGAGAGUGUGGAAAGAGAGGAGGUUACAUGGAGGUCACUGGGUUUAGUCCUGAAGUAAGGGAGCAAAUAUACAAAGUGGCAUCAGUGAAUCUUUGUUCCAAUAUUUCUGGUCAAAUUCUUGCUAGUCUUGUCAUGAGUCCACCAAAGGUUGGAGAUGAAUCAUAUGAAUCAUAUUCUGCUGAAAAAGAUGGAAUCCUGUCAUCCCUUGCAAGGCGUGCGAAGACACUGGAAGAUGCGUUCAACAAUUUGGAGGGUGUAACAUGCAACAAGGCAGAGGGAGCAAUGUAUCUCUUCCCUCGUAUCCGUCUGCCCCAAAAGGCAAUUAAAGCUGCAGAAGCUGCAAAAAAAGCCCCCGAUGCAUUUUAUUGUCAGCGUCUACUCAAUGCCACUGGAGUAGUUGUUGUUCCUGGUUCUGGCUUUGGGCAGGUGAGUCUCAUUUGUUUCUGCUAGUACAUUGAUUUAAUGCAGAUUCUCUUGUUUGAUGUUCGAUUUUGCAUUCUGAUUCUAACAUUAGCAACGAGUUAAGGUAUCUUAAAACACCAUCGACUCUACCCAAACAAAAUAAUUAGCUUUUAUCUUAGAAUGCUGUGAAGUUUUUUGCUGACUAAAUGAUGUUUCCUUCCCUAAAUUUCUCUGAAAAUUUACAAGCAAGGUGGUCAUAUGAUUCUAACUGAUUCUCUCGCUUUUCGGACUUAUGACUGUUCUUUUUUGUGUUUGUGAAAAGGUUCCGGGCACUUGGCAUUUUAGGUGCACUAUACUGCCUCAAGAGGAUAAGAUUCCGGCCAUUGUCUCCCGCCUGACAGAGUUCCACAAAAGUUUCAUGGAUGAGUUUCGGGACUGAGGGAGCUUUGCAUUCGUAGCAUUUAAGAAAGUUGAACAAUAAGACGUAGUUGAACAUUGUAAAAACACAUGGGUGGGCAUCGCCUAGGUGCAUUUUGGUCUUUCUGCUAAAGAAAGGGACAUUUUGCUUUUCCUUUCGAUGGUCAGAGAGAUGAUGUGCAGACUUUCAUAAAAAUAAUUUUUUGAAGUCUGUCUGGGAUUUAUGAACUUUUUUCACCAAAAAUAAAAAAGUCGUUUAAAUAAAA